rfam:Hordeum vulgare subsp. vulgare, WGS project CAJW01000000 data, contig: morex_contig_1559410
ACUAUAUUACCUCCGUCCCAAAUUAGUUGUCUUAGAUUUGUCUCGAUACGGAUGUACCUAACACUAAAAUGUGUCUAGAUACGGAUGUCUAGAUACAUCCUUAUCUAGACAAAUCUUAGACAACUAAUUCGGGACGGAGGGACUAGUAU